rnacentral:rRNA from 1 species
UGACGGUACCUUAGGAGGAAGCCCCGGCUAACUACGUGCCAGCAGCCGCGGUAAUACGUAGGGAGCAAGCGUUAUCCGGAUUUACUGGGUGUAAAGGGCGUGUAGGCGGGACUACAAGUCAGAUGUGAAAGCACGGGGCUCAACUCCGUGUCUGCAUUUGAAACUGCAGUUCUUGAGUGCUGGAGAGGCUAACGGAAUUCCUAGUGUAGCGGUGAAAUGCGUAGAUAUUAGGAGGAACACCAGUGGCGAAGGCGGUUAGCUGGACAGUAACUGACGCUGAGGCGCGAAAGCGUGGGUAGCAAACAGGAUUAGAUACCCUG